rnacentral:rRNA from 1 species
UACGUAGGGGGCUAGCGUUGUCCGGAAUCAUUGGGCGUAAAGCGCGCGUAGGCGGCCAGAUAAGUCCGGUGUGAAAGUCACAGGCUCAACCUGUGAAUGCCGCUGGAAACUGUCUGGCUAGAGUCCGGAAGGGGCGAGUGGAAUUCCUAGUGUAGAGGUGAAAUUCGUAGAUAUUAGGAAGAACACCAGUGGCGAAGGCGGCUCACUGGCCCGGUACUGACGCUGAGGCGCGAAAGCGUGGGGAGCAAACAGG